rnacentral:rRNA from 1 species
GACGAACGCUGGCGGCGUGCUUAACACAUGCAAGUCGAACGGAAAGGCCCUGCUUUUGUGGGGUGCUCGAGUGGCGAACGGGUGAGUAACACGUGAGUAACCUGCCCUUGACUUUGGGAUAACUUCAGGAAACUGGGGCUAAUACCGGAUAGGAGCUCCUGCUGCAUGGUGGGGGUUGGAAAGUUUCGGCGGUUGGGGAUGGACUCGCGGCUUAUCAGCUUGUUGGUGGGGUAGUGGCUUACCAAGGCUUUGACGGGUAGCCGGCCUGAGAGGGUGACCGGCCACAUUGGGACUGAGAUGCGGCCCAGACUCCUACGGGAGGCAGCAGUGGGGAAUAUUGCACAAUGGGCGGAAGCCUAAUGCAGCAACGCCGCGUGCGGGAUGACGGCCUUCGGGUUGUAAACCGCUUUCGCCUGUGACGAAGCGUGAGUGACGGUAAUGGGUAAAGAAGCACCGGCUAACUACGUG